GGUUAAGCGACUAAGCGUACACGGUGGAUGCCUAGGCAAUCAGAGGCGAUGAAGGACGUGCUAAUCUGCGAAAAGCGUCGGUAAGGUGAUAUGAACCGUUAUAACCGACGAUGUCCGAAUGGGGAAACCCAGUGCAAUUCGUUGCACUAUCGUUUGAUGAAUCCAUAGUCAAACGAGGCGAACCGGGGGAACUGAAACAUCUCAGUACCCCGAGGAAAAGAAAUCAACCGAGAUUCCCCUAGUAGCGGCGAGCGAACGGGGAGCAGCCCAGAGUCUUAAUCAGCAUCAGCAUCAGGAGAACGGUCUGGAAAGGCCGGCAAUAAAGGGUGAUAGCCCCGUAUCCGAAGGUGUUGGUGUUGUGAACUCGACGAGUAGGGCGGGACACGUGUUAUCCUGUCUGAAUAUGGGGGGACCAUCCUCCAAGGCUAAAUACUCCUGAUUGACCGAUAGUGAACCAGUACCGUGAGGGAAAGGCGAAAAGAACCCCGGCGAGGGGAGUGAAAUAGAACCUGAAACCGUGUACGUACAAGCAGUGGGAGCCUUGAUUUAUCAGGGUGACUGCGUACCUUUUGUAUAAUGGGUCAGCGACUUAUAUUCUGUAGCAAGGUUAACCGAAUAGGGGAGCCGUAGGGAAACCGAGUCUUAACUGGGCGAAUGAGUUGCAGGGUAUAGACCCGAAACCCGGUGAUCUAGCCAUGGGCAGGUUGAAGGUUGGGUAACACUAACUGGAGGACCGAACCGACUAAUGUUGAAAAAUUAGCGGAUGACUUGUGGCUGGGGGUGAAAGGCCAAUCAAACCGGGAGAUAGCUGGUUCUCCCCGAAAGCUAUUUAGGUAGCGCCUCGUGAACUCAUCUUCGGGGGUAGAGCACUGUUUCGGCUAGGGGGUCAUCCCGACUUACCAACCCGAUGCAAACUACGAAUACCGAAGAAUGUUAUCACGGGAGACACACGGCGGGUGCUAACGUUCGUCGUGAAGAGGGAAACAACCCAGACCGCCAGCUAAGGUCCCAAAGUCAUGGUUAAGUGGGAAACGAAGUGGGAAGGCUCAGACAGCCAGGAUGUUGGCUUAGAAGCAGCCAUCAUUUAAAGAAAGCGUAAUAGCUCACUGGUCGAGUCGGCCUGCGCGGAAGAUGUAACGGGGCUAAACCAUGCACCGAAGCUGCGGCAGCGACAUGUAAAUGUUGUUGGGUAGGGGAGCGUUCUGUAAGCCUGUGAAGGUGUGCUGCGAGGCAUGCUGGAGGUAUCAGAAGUGCGAAUGCUGACAUAAGUAACGAUAAUGCGGGUGAAAAACCCGCACGCCGGAAGACCAAGGGUUCCUGUCCAACGUUAAUCGGGGCAGGGUGAGUCGACCCCUAAGGCGAGGCAGAAAUGCGUAGUCGAUGGGAAACAGGUUAAUAUUCCUGUACUGGUGAUAAUUGCGAUGGGGGGACGGAGAAGGCUAGGCUGGCCGGGCGACGGUUGUCCCGGUUUAAGGAUGUAGGUGGGCGAAUUAGGCAAAUCCGGUUCGCUAUACACUGAGGUCUGAUGACGAGUCACUACGGUGGCGAAGUAGCUCAUGCCCCGCUUCCAGGAAAAGCCUCUAAGCUCUAGAUUAUCAUUAAUCGUACCCCAAACCGACACAGGUGGUCAGGUAGAGAAUACUCAGGCGCUUGAGAGAACUCGGGUGAAGGAACUAGGCAAAAUGGUGCCGUAACUUCGGGAGAAGGCACGCUGGCAUUAGGUGAAGUGGUUUACCCAUGGAGCUGAAGCCAGUCGCAGAUACCAGCUGGCUGCAACUGUUUAUUAAAAACACAGCACUGUGCAAACACGAAAGUGGACGUAUACGGUGUGACGCCUGCCCGGUGCUGGAAGGUUAAUUGAUGGGGUUAUCCGUAAGGAGAAGCUCUUGAUCGAAGCCCCAGUAAACGGCGGCCGUAACUAUAACGGUCCUAAGGUAGCGAAAUUCCUUGUCGGGUAAGUUCCGACCUGCACGAAUGGCGUAAUGAUGGCCAGGCUGUCUCCACCCGAGACUCAGUGAAAUUGAACUCGCUGUGAAGAUGCAGUGUACCCGCGGCAAGACGGAAAGACCCCGUGAACCUUUACUAUAGCUUGACACUGAACAUUGAGCCUUGAUGUGUAGGAUAGGUGGGAGGCUUUGAAGUGUGGACGCCAGUCUGCAUGGAGCCAACCUUGAAAUACCACCCUUUAAUGUUUGAUGUUCUAACGUAGCCCCAUAAUCUGGGGUGCGGACAGUGUCUGGUGGGUAGUUUGACUGGGGCGGUCUCCUCCCAAAGCGUAACGGAGGAGCACGAAGGUUGGCUAAGCAUGGUCGGACAUCAUGCGGUUAGUGCAAAGGCAUAAGCCAGCUUGACUGCGAGAGUGACGGCUCGAGCAGGUACGAAAGUAGGUCUUAGUGAUCCGGUGGUUCUGAAUGGAAGGGCCAUCGCUCAACGGAUAAAAGGUACUCCGGGGAUAACAGGCUGAUACCGCCCAAGAGUUCAUAUCGACGGCGGUGUUUGGCACCUCGAUGUCGGCUCAUCACAUCCUGGGGCUGAAGUAGGUCCCAAGGGUAUGGCUGUUCGCCAUUUAAAGUGGUACGCGAGCUGGGUUUAGAACGUCGUGAGACAGUUCGGUCCCUAUCUGCCGUGGGCGUUGGAAGAUUGAAAGGGGCUGCUCCUAGUACGAGAGGACCGGAGUGGACGCACCGCUGGUGUUCGGGUUGUCAUGCCAAUGGCACUGCCCGGUAGCUAAGUGCGGAAGAGAUAACCGCUGAAAGCAUCUAAGCGGGAAACUUGCCUUGAGAUGAGUCUUCCCUGACUCUUUAAGGGUCCUAAAGGAACGUUUAAGACGAAGACGUUGAUAGGCUGGGUGUGUAAGCGUAGCGAUACGUUGAGCUAACCAGUACUAAUGAACCGUGAGGCUUAACCUG
rnacentral:rRNA from 1 species